rnacentral:sRNA from 1 species
GUCGUUCUUAUUGUUAUAUUUUGUUGUUACAGUCCACCUUUUCAUAGAUCUUGUUCUC